CCUACGGGUGGCAGCAGUAGGGAAUAUUGCUCAAUGGGGGAAACCCUGAAGCAGCAACGCCGCGUGGAGGAUGAAGGUUUUCGGAUUGUAAAAUCCUUUUGUUAGAGAAGAUAAUGACGGUAUCUAACGAAUAAGCACCGGCUAACUCCGUGCCAGCAGCCGCGGUAAUACGGAGGGUGCAAGCGUUACUCGGAAUAACUGGGCGUAAAGGGCGCGUAGGCGGGAUAGCAAGUCAGAUGUGAAAUCCUAUGGCUUAACCAUAGAACUGCAUUUGAAACUGUUAUUCUAGAGUAUGGGAGAGGUAGGUGGAAUGCUUGGUGUAGGGGUAAAAUCCGUAGAGAUCAAGAGGAAUACUCAUUGCGAAGGCGGCCUGCUAGAACAUAACUGACGCUGAUGCGCGAAAGCGUGGGGAGCAAACAGGAUUAGAUACCCCGGUAGUC
rnacentral:rRNA from 1 species